rnacentral:rRNA from 1 species
CUACGGGCCGCAGCAGUGAGGAAUAUUGCACAAUGGGGGGAACCCUGAUGCAGCAACGCCGCGUGGAGGAUGACGCAUUUCGGUGUGUAAACUCCUUUUAUAUGUCAAGAAAAUGACGGUAGCAUAUGAAUAAGCACCGGCUAACUCCGUGCCAGCAGCCGCGGUAAUACGGAGGGUGCAAGCGUUACUCGGAAUCACUGGGCGUAAAGGACGCGUAGGCGGGUUGGAAAGUCAGGUGUGAAAUCCUACAGCUUAACUGUAGAACUGCACUUGAAACUUCUAAUCUAGAGUAUGGGAGGGGGAGAUGAAAUUAGUGGUGUAGGGGUAUAAUCCGUAGAUAUCACUAGGAAUACCUAAAGCGAAGGCGAUCUCCUGGAACAUUACUGACGCUAAGGCGUGAAAGCGUGGGGAGCAAACAGGAUUAGAUACCUUGUAGUC